GCCUGGAUAGCUCAGUCGGUUAGAGUGUGGUGCUGAUAACGCCAAGGUUGCAGCUUUGAUCCCUGUGUGGGGCA